UGAGGAAUUCUGGGAGUUGAAGUCCACAAGUCUUAAAGUUGCCAAGGUUGAGAAACACUGCUCUGAGGCAAUGAAACAAAUUAGCUUCAUCUCCUAUGUGACAGUCCUUUAAAAAGAUCUUGAAGUAUUUAAAAAAUAAAAGAUGGCUGUAGCAAAACAGGUCAGACAUGGAAAGAUGGAAGUCAAACCUCUCCUCAGAAGCCUGAAUCUUUACAUACUGGUACUGGCUUACAUAUGGUGGUUCCUGCUGCCAUUAUUUAUCUGUCGUGGGCACCUUAUUCCACCCCGAUGUGUGCAAAAGAGAAAGGCCCCUCACAACCUGUGCUGUCUAAUGACAAAAGGUAAAAAAAAAAACGAAAAGCAAAUUUCUAUAGUAUCACUUGCUGAUCUUAUAGUUUAUGGCCAUUCCCGCCAGUUAUAUACAUUUUGAUCUAUAUCUAUGUAUUCUUGUAGAUUUGAUUUAAUGCUCUUGAUAAUUUAAAUAUCAAUAUUUAAAUAUGGAUUUAAAUAUUGAUUCUAUUUUCCAAGGUACCCCUCAAUAUUUAUUCCUCUCUAGGGCCUAAUGAUUUAUAAAAAUGUUGACUAGGAUAGAUCUAAGACAGAAUUCUGACAUAACUUCACACAUUCCCAUCCAAGUCAAUGUGCAAAUAUUCAUUGUUGAUACGGUUGAGAGGCCAGCUAUUGAUCCUUAAAUAGCAUAAUCCAGUCCAUAAAUAUAUUAAAAAUAGUAAUUUAUUACUUGCCUUGUUCUACUAAAAAUUUCAGCAUAUGGGGAUAUCUAGGAUGACCUUGAAAGGCCAAGCAGAGAUUGCAUGAAAAGUACGUAAGACCUACCCCAAUAUUCCCAGGAAUGUAUGAAUGAAUACAUCCCAAGGAAACAUGAACAAAAAACAGCUCUUUCCUUCAGAAAUAUUUAAUUGUGCUGAUAAAAACCUAACAAUUUUUUUUUUUAAAUCACAGUGUGAAAAAUGCCCUUGCCCAGUACUGCCCCACAGAAAAGGAUUCGGGGCAGCUUAAGAGGCAGGAUGCUACACAGCAAACUAAAGCUCUCUGGAGCAGCAAUUCAUCGUGGGAGAUGAAGGGCAACACCAACUUACCAGGCAGGCACUCCAAAUCCCACCAUACUUCACACUACACCCUGAAAUGCAGCUUGGCACCAAUGCAUAGGUCAGAGAGGGCAAUCCCAGUUGCCAGGGGACAGCCGGGGCAGGGCAGUUUGACUCCCUGGUACUGGGAGGCAGAGAGCCCAAUAUCUCCUCCUCCAUCACGUGUUGGUCUUUGGCAAGGGCACAAUAUGGCUGGCUUAAAAACA